GAUUGAACGCUGGCGGCAGGCCUAACACAUGCAAGUCGAGCGGUAGCACAGAGAGCUUGCUCUCGGGUGACGAGCGGCGGACGGGUGAGUAAUGUCUGGGAAACUGCCUGAUGGAGGGGGAUAACUACUGGAAACGGUAGCUAAUACCGCAUAACGUCGCAAGACCAAAGUGGGGGACCUUCGGGCCUCAUGCCAUCAGAUGUGCCCAGAUGGGAUUAGCUAGUAGGUGGGGUAAUGGCUCACCUAGGCGACGAUCCCUAGCUGGUCUGAGAGGAUGACCAGCCACACUGGAACUGAGACACGGUCCAGACUCCUACGGGAGGCAGCAGUGGGGAAUAUUGCACAAUGGGCGCAAGCCUGAUGCAGCCAUGCCGCGUGUGUGAAGAAGGCCUUCGGGUUGUAAAGCACUUUCAGCGGGGAGGAAGGCGAUAAGGUUAAUAACCUUGUCGAUUGACGUUACCCGCAGAAGAAGCACCGGCUAACUCCGUGCCAGCAGCCGCGGUAAUACGGAGGGUGCAAGCGUUAAUCGGAAUUACUGGGCGUAAAGCGCACGCAGGCGGUCUGUCAAGUCGGAUGUGAAAUCCCCGGGCUUAACCUGGGAACUGCAUUCGAAACUGGCAGGCUAGAGUCUUGUAGAGGGGGGUAGAAUUCCAGGUGUAGCGGUGAAAUGCGUAGAGAUCUGGAGGAAUACCGGUGGCGAAGGCGGCCCCCUGGACAAAGACUGACGCUCAGGUGCGAAAGCGUGGGGAGCAAACAGGAUUAGAUACCCUGGUAGUCCACGCCGUAAACGAUGUCGAUUUGGAGGUUGUGCCCUUGAGGCGUGGCUUCCGGAGCUAACGCGUUAAAUCGACCGCCUGGGGAGUACGGCCGCAAGGUUAAAACUCAAAUGAAUUGACGGGGGCCCGCACAAGCGGUGGAGCAUGUGGUUUAAUUCGAUGCAACGCGAAGAACCUUACCUGGUCUUGACAUCCACAGAACUUUCCAGAGAUGGAUUGGUGCCUUCGGGAACUGUGAGACAGGUGCUGCAUGGCUGUCGUCAGCUCGUGUUGUGAAAUGUUGGGUUAAGUCCCGCAACGAGCGCAACCCUUAUCCUUUGUUGCCAGCGGUCCGGCCGGGAACUCAAAGGAGACUGCCAGUGAUAAACUGGAGGAAGGUGGGGAUGACGUCAGGUCAUCAUGGCCCUUACGACCAGGGCUACACACGUGCUACAAUGGCAUAUACAAAGAGAAGCGACCUCGCGAGAGCAAGCGGACCUCAUAAAGUAUGUCGUAGUCCGGAUUGGAGUCUGCAACUCGACUCCAUGAAGUCGGAAUCGCUAGUAAUCGUAGAUCAGAAUGCUACGGUGAAUACGUUCCCGGGCCUUGUACACACCGCCCGUCACACCAUGGGAGUGGGUUGCAAAAGAAGUAGGUAGCUUAACCUUCGGGAGGGCGCUUACCACUUUGUGAUUCAUGACUGGGGUGAAGUCGUAACAAGG
rnacentral:rRNA from 1 species